AAUUCUCAACCUUUCUAGCUUUUUCAAAGCUAGCUAGGCUUGGAUUUUGGAAGUUGCUGGUUCUUGCGAAUCGGCUCUUCUUAAAUAUAUUAGCAGUCCUUUGCUGGCUAUCAUUGGUAUGAUAAUUAUCUAUAUCACUGAGAAACAGCUUCCCUAGUGGAAUGGCUCUGCUUCUAAUCGUCUUCACAAGACAACUUGACAA
rnacentral:misc_RNA from 1 species